GAGUUUGAUCCUGGCUCAGAUGAACGCUGGCGGCAUGCCUUACACAUGCAAGUCGAACGGAGCGCGGGAGCAAUCCUGGCGGGAGUGGGAACGGGUGAGUAAUAUAUCGGAACGUGCCCUGUAGCGGGGGAUAACCUAUCGAAAGAUGGACUAAUACCGAUACGCUCUACGGAGGAAAGCGGGGGUCGCAAGACCUCGCACUAUAGGAGCGGCCGAUAUCGGAUUAGCUAGUUGGCGGGGUAAAAGCCCACCAAGGCGACGAUCCGUAGCUGGUCUGAGAGGAUGAUCAGCACACUGGAACUGAGACACGGUCCAGACUCCUACGGGAGGCAGCAGUGGGGAAUUUUGGACAAUGGGCGCAAGCCUGAUCCAGCCAUGCCGCGUGAGUGAAGAAGGCCUUCGGGUUGUAAAGCUCUUUCGGCAGGAACGAAAUGGUUCGUGCUAAUACCACGGACUGAUGACGGUACCUGAAGAAGAAGCACCGGCUAACUACGUGCCAGCAGCCGCGGUAAUACGGGGGGGGCAAGCGUUGUUCGGAAUUACUGGGCGUAAAGGGCGCGUAGGCGGUCCGCUAAGUUGGAUGUGAAAACUCUGGGCUUAACCCAGAGCCUGCAUUCAAAACUGACGGGCUAGAGUUCUGGAGGGGGUAGCGGAAUUCCUGGUGUAGCGGUGAAAUGCGUAGAUAUCAGGAGGAACACCGGUGGCGAAGGCGGCUACCUGGACAGAAACUGACGCUGAGGCGCGAAAGCUAGGGGAGCAAACAGGAUUAGAUACCCUGGUAGUCCUAGCCCUAAACGAUGGAUACUUGGUGUGACUGGGAUUGAAUCCAGUCGUGCCGAAGCUAACGCAUUAAGUAUCCCGCCUGGGGAGUACGGUCGCAAGACUGAAACUCAAAGGAAUUGACGGGGACCCGCACAAGCGGUGGAGCAUGUGGUUUAAUUCGACGCAACGCGAAGAACCUUACCUGGGCUAGAAUGCCUCUGACAACCCUAGAGAUAGGGCCUCCAAGGUAAAACUUGGCAGAGUGCAAGGUGCUGCAUGGCUGUCGUCAGCUCGUGUCGUGAGAUGUUGGGUUAAGUCCCGCAACGAGCGCAACCCUUAUCUUUAGUUGCCAGCAUUAAGUUGGGCACUCUAGAGAGACUGCCGUUGACAAAACGGAGGAAGGUGGGGAUGACGUCAAGUCCUCAUGGCCUUUAUGUCCAGGGCUACACACGUGCUACAAUGGCAGGUACAGAGGGAAGCCAACGCGCGAGCGGGAGCCAAUCCCAGAAAGCCUGUCGUAGUCCGGAUCGGAGUCUGCAACUCGACUCUGUGAAGUUGGAAUCGCUAGUAAUCGCAGAUCAGCAUUGCUGCGGUGAAUACGUUCCCGGGUCUUGUACACAC
rnacentral:rRNA from 1 species